CGGUGUUUAACUGGCGUGAUGUGGGACGUCCUACCGGUGGGCUUAGCCUCGCGAGGGGCGGCCCAACUAAUAUCCCGUCGCGGUGCUCUUUACUGAGUGUCGAGUCGGGCCGGUACGUUUACUUUGAACAAAUUAGAGUGCUUAAAGCAGGCUAUCCUCGCCUGAAUACUGCGUGCAUGGAAUAAUGGAAUAGGACCUCGGUUCUAUUUUGUUGGUUUUCGGAACCCCGAGGUAAUGAUUAAUAGGGACAGAUGGGGGCAUUCGUAUUGCGACGUUAGAGGUGAAAUUCUUGGAUCGUCGCAAGACGGACAGAAGCGAAAGCAUUUGCCAAAAAUGUUUUCAUUAAUCAAGAACGAAAGUUAGAGGUUCGAAGGCGAUCAGAUACCGCCCUAGUUCUAACCAUAAACGAUGCCAGCUAGCGAUCCGCCGAAGUUCCUCCGAUGACUCGGCGGGCAGCUUCCGGGAAACCAAAGCUUUUGGGUUCCGGGGGAAGUAUGGUUGCAAAGCUGAAACUUAAAGGAUUUGACGGAGGGCACCACCAGGAGUGGAGCCUGCGGCUUAAUUUGACUCAACACGGGAAACCUCACCAGGCCCAGACACCGGAGGAUUGACAGAUUGAUAGCUCUUCUGAUCGUGGGUGGUGGUGCAUGGCCGUCUAGUGGUGGAGCGAUUUGUCUGGUUAAUUCCGAUAACGAACGAGACUCUAGCCUGCUAAAUAGGCGUACCUUAUGGUAUCGCGAAGGCCCCCGGCUUCGGCCGGUGGGUUUUUACUACCAACGUACAAACAAAUCUUCUUAGAGGGACAGGCGG
rnacentral:rRNA from 1 species